UUUCCUAAAAAACAGCCCUCCCAUAUCCCUAACCUCAUCCCCACCAUCCCACCCAUCGCCUGCAAUGGAUCCGCCGCCGCCCUGAUCCCGACCAUCCGCCGCCGCUCCCUGCCCCAUCCACCACCGGUGCUCACCGCUUUCACCCUCUGUUGCAUCCCAGCACCUCCAUAGCCACCGUGGACCAUCUCUCUCCUUGGUCCUCUCUCUUGGAUCAGCAUGCGGCGACAGAUGCUUUCAGUCGCGUGGUGGUGAUGCGGCUGGUCGGGGAACGAGGGUGAGGCGGGCUGUGUCCCAUUCCUUGAUCUUCCUCCACCUCCAAUUCCUCCUCUCCCACCGAACGUCAUGUCCGUAGUUACUGCGACAGGCGCUCUGCUCUCCCGUGGCAGCGAUGCGUAUAGCGACAACAAUGUCCUUUUGUGCCCCUCCACUCUUCAGACUGCCGAUGCACGAAAGUACGCGGAGAAUAUCAUGCUCCGCUUAGCAAAUUCGUCCGUGUUCGAAGUGGCUGCUCGGCAAGAGCUUGUGCCGGAUGUUCAUCAUCAACGCCAGUUAGGGGUUCAGGCUCCUGUCGAACUCAUGUCAUCAGCCAUACGGACCUGCAUGUAUUUGAUAGUUUGCUCAAUCAGAUUUAUGCGUUCAACCACAGCUAAGGCUACCACACUACUUCAUUGAGAUUUCUUUACUACAGGACAUGGAUUAAUAAUAUCCAACAAUACAGUCAUGCUUUCUUAUAUUUACUUUCAGUUCUAAAUACAUUUGUGAUUUUCUAUAUGCUGUCUUACUAAACUGUGUGUGCUAAACCAACCAUAUGGUAUAUAGAAAGGAUUCUACAAUGUUAGCUUAUAUUGCAAACUCUUGAAAAUAUGCGGUCAUUUUACUGUUUUUGCCGUGAACUUGGGGAGCUUGGGACAGAGUAUGGUGUCAAUAAUCAGUAUAUACCAGAACAAUAUUUUUGUGAUAUUGUAUAUACUGACUUAGUGAUAGUGGAGUAUUUACCACAUUUUUUCCAUGGACUUUAUACUGCAUUUUUGAACUGGUUAGAAUAGCUGACGCCUUUUAUAUCUUCCUUGUGGUAUAUGCUACCAUCCAAGGGAGUAUAUAAGGUACUAAUUUCAAGUAUAUACUAUUGUACUAUAUUUUGUCUAUAUACAUCUGCAACCAAGUAGUAUGUGCACUGCUCUUUGUGCACGGCAGUAUAUACAUCAUUUUUUGUAAGGCAAUAUAUAACAGCUUUUUUGUGAACCAGUAUACUACUUUUUUUAGUCAGUAUAUAUAUACAUAAUCUUUUAGUCGAUAUAUACUACUUUUCUUUAGUCGGUAUAUACUACUAUUCUUGAUAUAAAGGGUAAAGCAGCGCACACAUGACGCGCAGCAGCCGUUGUCGACUAGACGGUGGUGCUGCUGCAUGGAUCUAUCAGUGCAUGCCACGCCGCCAUCAUUUCUUAUUGCUGCCGUUAUUGAUGAGAUUGGCAGUGCCGUCGUAUGGGUCGAUCAGUGCACACCAUGCUGCCACGUUGUCGACGAGAUGGUAGUGCCGUCUUAUCCAUCGAUGCUAUGUGACUUGCUUCACCAAUGGCUUUGCACCUUGAUCCAGAUUGUUUUCAUGCAAAGCCUGUCAUGUUUGCCUCCUAAUGACCACAUCCACUAAGUCAGCUCUAUCUCUCUACUACUGCAACUAACUAACUGUGAUGAUCUUCUCCAGGUUUUUUGGCUGGAUACUGAGAUGGCACCAUUGUGCUGCUGAAGUUAAACCCUGUUUAUUGGGACGUACAAGCGGGCGGCAAGCACACAUGGCGGCAGGAGACAAGCCAUAUUUUACCAAUGACUGCUGCUAGGAUUGAUGUCCUAUUGCCGAAGAAACAAUGGCAACAGUCGCACCGUUUUUUCUUAGUUUCUUUCCAAGAUAUUCAUGUAUCGGCCUCACGCGAGCCGUUGCUGGAGCCCAAUCAUGGCGAGGAUACAUGGUGGAUGGCCCAACGAUCCUUAGGGAUGGAAGGAUCCCAUGACUACAGGAAUAGCAAUAAAUAAACUAUGUACUAACUAGAGCAAUGAUAUAUUUCAUAGGUCUAGGAUAUAUAUGUGAAAUAACAAUUUACUUCAUAUAACUACUAGGCUGACAAGUAUUUGGCAUUCUGUAUUUUUAAUAAGUAGAUGAUUUUUCUACAAUAGUUCCAUGUUCAUAUGUCAUGCUUCUCUGGUCCAAUAGGAAACAAUGUCAUUGAUGGACCAAAGUAUAUAGGGAUUUAUAUCAUCCUGGUGUAUAUUUCUACAAGUAGUUUAUACGAGCCUCAAAACACUGAUUUCCAAA